CUUUUCAUUUUGUUUGUGGUUUCCAUUGCUGUGCAAAAGCUUAGUUUGAUAAACCCAUUUGUUUAUUUUCGCUCUUUCUAUUGUCUUGGGAGACUGACCUAAGAAAACAUCGGUAUGAUUUAUGUCACAGACUAUUCCGCCUAUGUUCUCUUCUAGGAGUUAUACAGUGUCAUGUCUUACAUGUAAGUCUUUAAGCCAUUUUGAGUUUUAUUUUUGUGUAUGGUAUUGGCUGGAGUGAAGAGAGGUAAAGUCUAAGACCAGUCAUUGAUUCACUUAAUUAUAAAUAGGAAUUGGGAAUGUCAAGUUAUCACAUCCCGACUCUGGAACAGUCUCUGCCCUGUUACUCAGGAACUCCCCCCUCCCCAUAAGAUGUAUUGUCCCAUGUGUUUUCUGAGGCCAGUGUUACAGGGGCUUGUCCCCGCCACUGUUUCCUGCUCUCCCCCUCGUCCCGUGUGUUCCUGCCCCUCCCCAAGGAGGUGAUGCUGUCCCCCCACUCAGCCCUGGGCCUGGGCAGUCCAGGCUCCCUGUCUUGCCCAGCUCGGCAGUCCAGGGAGGCACCUGCAGCCAGUGAAAUGUGCAGGAACAGCGGCUGAGCGACUUCAGGGAGGAUCCUCUGCAGUAAAAUCACAAGGUGUUUAUUUAGCACCCGCUCUGCAUGAGGCACUGUGUUGGUGCCGUGAAGAACAUGCAGGUGGACGAGGCGUGGCUCCUGUCCUCUGCAGGCUCACUGUCCAGCAUGGGAACUUGGUCAUGGACACAAGUGACCGUCACACCAA